UACGUAGGGUGCGAGCGUUAAUCGGAAUUACUGGGCGUAAAGCGUGCGCAGGCGGCGCCGCAAGUCAGGCGUGAAAUCCCCGAGCUUAACUUGGGAAUGGCGCUUGAAACUACGGUGCUGGAGUGUGGCAGAGGGAGGUGGAAUUCCACGUGUAGCGGUGAAAUGCGUAGAGAUGUGGAGGAACACCGAUGGCGAAGGCAGCCUCCUGGGCCAACACUGACGCUCAUGCACGAAAGCGUGGGGAGCGAACAGG
rnacentral:rRNA from 1 species